AUUCCCUAGUAGCGGCGAGCGAAGCGGGAAGAGCUCAAAUUUAUAAUCUGGCACCUUCGGUGUCCGAGUUGUAAUCUCUAGAAGUGUUUUCCGCGUUGGACCGCACACAAGUCUGUUGGAAUACAGCGGCAUAGUGGUGAAACCCCCGUAUAUGGUGCGGACGCCCAGCGCUUUGUGAUACACUUUCAAUGAGUCGAGUUGUUUGGGAAUGCAGCUCAAAUUGGGUGGUAAAUUCCAUCUAAAGCUAAAUAUUGGCGAGAGACCGAUAGCGAACAAGUACCGUGAGGGAAAGAUGAAAAGCACUUUGGAAAGAGAGUUAACAGUACGUGAAAUUGUUGGAAGGGAAACGCUUGAAGUCAGACUUGCUUGCCGGAGCUUGCUUCGGUUUGCAGGCCAGCAUCAGUUUUCCGGGGUGGAUAAUGACGGUUUGAAGGUAGCAGUCUCGGCUGUGUUAUAGCUUUCCGUUGGAUACAUCCUGGGGGACUGAGGAACGCAGCGUGCUUUUUGCGAAAGACUCGUCUUUUUCACGCUUAGGAUGCUGGUGGAAUGGCUUUAAACGACCCGUCUUGAACAACGGACCA
rnacentral:rRNA from 1 species